AAGGUGUAGCGGGUGAAAUGCGUAGAGAUCUGGAGGAAUACCGGUGGCGAAGGCGCCCCUUGGACGAAGACUGACGCUCAGGUGCGAAAGCCGUGGGGAGCAAACAGGAUUAGAUACCUUGGUAGUCCACGCGUAAACGAUGUCGACUUGGAGGUUGUGCCCUUGAGGCGUGGCUUCCGGAGCUAACGCGUUAAGUCGACCGCCUGGGGAGUACGGCCGCAAGGUUAAAACUCAAAAUGAAUUGACGGGGGCCCGCACAAGCGGUGGAGCAUGUGGUUUAAUUCGAUGCAACGCGAAGAACCUUACCUGGUCUUGACAUCCACGGAAGUUUUCAGAGAUGAGAAUGUGCCUUCGGGAACCGUGAGACAGGUGCUGCAUGGCUGUCGUCAGCUCGUGUUGUGAAAUGUUGGGUUAAGUCCCGCAACGAGCGCAACCCUUAUCCUUUGUUGCCAGCGGUCCGGCCGGGAACUCAAAGGAGACUGCCAGUGAUAAACUGGAGGAAGGUGGGGAUGACGUCAAGUCAUCAUGGCCCUUACGACCAGGGCUACACACGUGCUACAAUGGCGCAUACAAAGAGAAGCGACCUCGCGAGAGCAAGCGGACCUCAUAAAGUGCGUCGUAGUCCGGAUUGGAGUCUGCAACUCGACUCCAUGAAGUCGGAAUCGCUAGUAAUCGUGGAUCAGAAUGCCACGGUGAAUACGUUCCCGGGCCUUGUACACACCGCCCGUCACACCAUGGGAGUGGGUUGCAAAAGAAGUAGGUAGCUUAACCUUCGGGAGGGCGCUUACCACUUUGUGAUUCAUGACUGGGGUGAAGUCGUAACAAGGUAACCGUAGGGGAACCUGCGGCUGGAUCACCUCCUU
rnacentral:rRNA from 1 species